UUAUAGAGGCGCACGGGUGCGUAACGCGUGGGCCUCUGCCCUUGGGUUCGGAAUAACAGCGAGAAAUUGCUGCUAAUACCGGAUGAUGACGUAAGUCCAAAGAUUUAUCGCCCAAGGAUGAGCCCGCGUAGGAUUAGCUAGUUGGUGGGGUAAAGGCCCACCAAGGCGACGAUCCUUAGCUGGUCUGAGAGGAUGAUCAGCCACACUGGGACUGAGACACGGCCCAGACUCCUACGGGAGGCAGCAGUGGGGAAUAUUGGACAAUGGGCGAAAGCCUGAUCCAGCAAUGCCGCGUGAGUGAUGAAGGCCUUAGGGUUGUAAAGCUCUUUUACCCGGGAUGAUAAUGACAGUACCGGGAGAAUAAGCUCCGGCUAACUCCGUGCCAGCAGCCGCGGUAAU
rnacentral:rRNA from 1 species